CUUUUAAGCAAAGAAAAGGAGGAUAAAACACAGACAUGAACAUUUUCUGUCCUGCUUCUGUGGUCUAGGAGGACCAUUCUGCUUCCUGAUGCCAUCUACCAACCCAGGAGGACAGUUGUCCUGAGGACAAGCCAUCUUCCCACUAAAGACUGAAGCAAAGAAGGCAUUAAGCACAUCCGGCUUCUCCUCAUCUGCAGUCACUAAGUUUCCUCUGGCAUCCAGUAGGGAACAAAGCAUGUUCCUUAAAGCUCCUCAUACGUCCUACUGUGAGUUACUUAUCUGAUGUUACUUGGUGAAUGCUGGUCCCCAAGUCAAUAAAUGUGGUUUUG